CAAGCUUGAGCAGGACAGCGUCCCCAGAAUCAGCAGCCACAUUGCCUAUGGCGAGAAGACAGGUCACUGUUUCCUCCUCCAAGAAGCCUAAAUCUGGCUACAGCUGUGAUUGCGUUUGUUUCCUGAGCUCCUCUGCUUCCUCUGGAUUCUUCCAAUUCAUCUGCCACAUCCCGAGAAAACAAGAGCCCAGGCACUUCGCUGUUUUCUGCAAUCUGAAACAGUCCAACCAACACACAACACAGGUCCUAUCUCCUCUUCCUGACAAUUGUGCUCUGCAGCCUGCUCUGGAGCUGAGCAGUUCUGAUAGGCUGUCAGACAGCUGGCUGGGUGAGGGGGACACUCUGUGACCACGGAAUGCACAAUGCCGGCCGCUGCCAAUGCAAGGACCCUGGGGUCUUCACCUCGCUCGCCCCAGGAUCCCAGAUGAGAGACGGGCCACAUCCACUCAGAGCUGGGCCUGUGCUGAUAGCAACGACCAGUGCUGGAGGGUUUACCAGGUAGCAGAUUUCCCAGAGCAGCCGCUGUGCUUGCUGUGUGUCCGGACGUGUCUCUAUGCCUGUGAAAAGACAGAGUGGUAGGACUUCCCUGUGGUCCAGUGGUUAAGGAUCUGCCUGCUAAUGCGGGGGACAUAGGUUCAAUACCUUGUCAUGCUGCGGGGCAGCCAAGCCUGUGCACCCCAACUACUGAAGUCCUGGGUCAUACAGCC
ensembl:lncRNA